rnacentral:rRNA from 1 species
UUAUACCGUGAAACUGCGAAUGGCUCAUUAAAUCAGUUAUCGUUUAUUUGAUAGUACCUUACUACUUGGAUAACCGUGGUAAUUCUAGAGCUAAUACAUGCUAAAAACCCCGACUUCGGGAGGGGUGUAUUUAUUAGAUAAAAAACCAAUGCCCUUCGGGGCUCUUUGGUGAUUCAUGAUAACUUAACGGAUCGCAUGGCCUUGCGCUGGCGACGGUUCAUUCAAAUUUCUGCCCUAUCAACUUUCGAUGGUAAGGUAUUGGCUUACCAUGGUUUCAACGGGUAACGGGGAAUUAGGGUUCGAUUCCGGAGAGGGAGCCUGAGAAACGGCUACCACAUCCAAGGAAGGCAGCAGGCGCGCAAAUUACCCAAUCCCGACUCGGGGAGGUAGUGACAAUAAAUACUGAUACAGGGCUCUUUUGGGUCUUGUAAUCGGAAUGAGUACAAUUUAAACCCCUUAACGAGGAACAAUUGGAGGGCAAGUCUGGUGCCAGCAGCCGCGGUAAUUCCAGCUCCAAUAGCGUAUAUUAAAGUUGUUGCAGUUAAAAAGCUCGUAGUUGAACCUUGGGCCUGGCUGGCCGGUCCGCCUCACCGCGUGUACUGGUCCGGCCGGGCCUUUCCUUCUGGAGAGCCGCAUGCCCUUCACUGGGUGUGUCGGGGAACCAGGACUUUUACUUUGAAAAAAUUAGAGUGUUCAAAGCAGGCCUUUGCUCGAAUACGUUAGCAUGGAAUAAUAGAAUAGGACGUGCGGUCCUAUUUUGUUGGUUUCUAGGACCGCCGUAAUGAUUAAUAGGGAUAGUCGGGGGCAUCAGUAUUCAAUUGUCAGAGGUGAAAUUCUUGGAUUUAUUGAAGACUAACUACUGCGAAAGCAUUUGCCAAGGAUGUUUUCAUUAAUCAGUGAACGAAAGUUAGGGGAUCGAAGACGAUCAGAUACCGUCGUAGUCUUAACCGUAAACUAUGCCGACUAGGGAUCGGGCGAUGUUUCUAUCUUGACUCGCUCGGCACCUUACGAGAAAUCAUAAG